GGGGAUACAGCUCAGUGGUAGAGUAGCUGCUUUGCCUGCAGGGCGUCCCAGGUUCAAUCCCUGGAGUUUUCA
rnacentral:tRNA from 1 species